rnacentral:rRNA from 1 species
AACGAACGCUGGCGGCAUGCCUAACACAUGCAAGUCGAACGAGACCUUCGGGUCUAGUGGCGCACGGGUGCGUAACGCGUGGGAACCUGCCCUUAGGUUCGGAAUAACUCCCCGAAAGGGGUGCUAAUACCGGAUAAUGUCUUCGGACCAAAGAUUUAUCGCCUUUGGAUGGGCCCGCGUUGGAUUAGCUAGUUGGUAGGGUAAAAGCCUACCAAGGCGACGAUCCAUAGCUGGUCUGAGAGGAUGAUCAGCCACACUGGGACUGAGACGCGGCCCAGACUCUUACGGGAGGCAGCAGUGGGGAAUAUUGGACAAUGGGCGAAAGCCUGAUCCAGCAAUGCCGCGUGAGUGAUGAAGGCCUUAGGGUUGUAAAGCUCUUUUACCCGGGAUGAUAAUGACAGUACCGGGAGAAUAAGCUCCGGCUAACUCCGUG